UUUCUAAAUUGUAACUAUUAAAACAUUUUUAAAUUGUGGAAUUAAUAAAACUCUAUUACUAAUGUUCCAAAGAGAGCACAAGCCAGAUAUUUCAAUUGAAGGAAUUUAAUAAAAGUAAUUCACUAUAGAGUUGCUGGAGGGGCUGAAAAUAGGUGAGGUGCUGCUACUCUUAGGGUCAUAAAGGGAAAAGAUGGGAGUCCAGAUUGACUAACAGGUGGGAGCUAGAACUACGAAGAAAGUCUGGUGGGAGCUGGGACCACGACAUGGGCUGCAACUACGAUGGAGCUGUUGGAGGUACUACGUGAGGGAUGAGGAGGUGGGCCGCUCUCCCCUCCCACCCUCCAGUUUCCACCAGUGCUGCCCAUUGAUUUAACCUUAAUGGAAGCCAGUGAGCAAGAGCAUCUGGGAAUUAUAACUUGUAGAGAUUAGCUCUCUACAGAGCAGAACGAGGGAAGGAAGUGUGAAUGGAUCUGACAGCCAACAGGCAAAUGACCAGUACAAACAGCAAACUUCAAAACCAUAUAUUUAUUUAUCAGGAUUACAAUUAGGUAUGCCACCUCCCCUAUAGAUAAGUAACUACCUGGGACCAGGGAUAGAGAUAAUUUGAAAGAGUCUUUGGCAAAUAAUUAAUCUGAGUGUACUUAGACCCGCACUUCUUCACACAAGCAGAUUAAUUGUUUUUUAGUGAAGUAUUCAAAUGCAGAAACACUAAGGACUUAGAAACCAAAAAUUAAUUAGCGUGGGAGGAAGAGACAGUGAAGCAGCCCCUUAAAAAUGGUCUUUCGGGUGGAAACACUUUAUUUGGGAAGCAAAGUGCAAGAUUCAGCAAUAGAAACCACUCAGUGUCCUUGGUGAAUGAUUUGAUCCUGGCCAUCAGAACCUUUACUUCAGCCAGCAAUAAACUCUUAGAAACAGAAGCUUCGAGGUAUGUACUCCUGUUCUGCACGAACAAGUUUUCUGGUUGAACAUGCUGAACCUCUUAAAAAAUUCAGAACAAGUUUUCUCAGAGUUUACAAAGGGAUUUCAAUCACAUGAAGAGAGGAAAACACACUGAGUCGUAACAGUGACAUCAAAAUACUUUUGAAGUUGACUGAAAAUGUGGUUGCUUUUGUUUGAGAAUGGCAAAUUAAAGAAUUGGAUAUUGGGUUCUUAUCUCAGAAGAAACAAAGGAGGAGACCCUGAAAAACUGAACAUGAAGAGGAAGAAGUGGAGUUAUGCAACUCUUCAUAAGAAAAUCUCCAUCUGUUUGGAGAAGUACUGCGUCCUUCCGGAUUAUCUUCUACACUAUGCCUUAUUGUUAUCUGGCUGGUUCCACCACCGGUCAGAAGAAUGAAAAUUGCAGAUACCUAUUCUGUGUGUUUCUCUCCAGAAUGGUGGAUGUUAGAGACCCUACUAAGGAUUUGUGGACUCACUAACGUAGUCUCUAAAAGGUUGGACAUCCCUACCCAAGGCUCAAAUGGUAACAGGUCCAUGCCUUACUUGUGUCAGUUCUCUUAUUGAAAGAGCAUCUCCUAACCAUCCUACCAAUAAGGUAAAGGUGUUAUUUUGAAUCUGAAUCAAAAUGAACCUUCUCCAUAAAUCUCUUCCUCACUAGCUGGCCCAUACCUUAUUACCUUUUCUGGGUCCUUCCCUUAAUAAUUAGCACUGAGCUCACAAUUAUUGCUUUUUCUCUUAACAUGUUGCUUUGUAAUUGUCUCCAAGAUCCCCUCCUAUUUUUAUAUAUCCAAUUUACUAAAUCAUUCCUAUUUCUUCAGCAGCCCUGAAUGCAGCGCACUGUGAUUCAAUAAAUGUUUGUUAAUGAAGGGAACUACAAGCUGGUUGGGAAUCAAAUCUUUUCCCGUGGGAGUUACCAGGGAUAAAGUCAGUCAGACCCUUCUAUGGCCUGAGAAGUGCUGGGAGUAGCUUCCUUUAGAAGUUCAAUAAAAACAAGUCUCUGA
rnacentral:lncRNA from 1 species